UACGGGGGGGGCAAGCGUUGUUCGGAAUUACUGGGCGUAAAGGGCUCGUAGGUGGCCAACUAAGUCGGACGUGAAAUCCCUCAGCUUAACUGGGGAACUGCGUCCGAUACUGGUAUGGCUUGAGUCCGGUAGGGGACCACGGAAUUCCUGGUGUAGCGGUGAAAUGCGCAGAUAUCAGGAGGAACACCGGUGGCGAAGGCGGUGGUCUGGGCCGGCACUGACGCUGAGGAGCGAAAGCGUGGGGAGCGAACAGG
rnacentral:rRNA from 1 species